UCGGGCGUGGUGCACGGCGCACAGUUGCGUUGUGUUGUGAUUGUAUCAAGUAAGCCUUCUGCAGCCAGCCGGGGUUCGACUCCCCGCGCCCGAG